rnacentral:rRNA from 1 species
GACGAACGCUGGCGGCGUGCCUAAUACAUGCAAGUAGAACGCAGUUGCGAACGGGUGAGUAACGCGUAGGUAACCUGCCUCAUAGCGGGGGAUCACUAUUGGAAACGAUAGCUAAUACCGCAUCCUGUGAGAUGGACCUUCGUUGUAUUAGCUAGUUGGUGAUGUAAAGGCUAACCAAGGCGACGAUACAUAUCCGACCUGAGAGGGUGAUCGUCCACACUGGGACUGAGACACGGUCCAGACUCCUACGGGAGGCAGCAGUGGGGAAUAUUGCACAAUGGGCGCAAGCCUGAUACAGCCCUGCCUCGUGUAUGAAGAAGGCCUUCGGGUUGUAAAGUACUUUCAGCGGGGAGGCGUUACCCGCAGAAGAAGCACCGGCUAACUCCGUGCCAGCAGCCGCGGUAAUAC